UUUAAACAUUGAUCCAAAAAUAAUCGAUAUGAAAUAUAGAAAAAUUAUUGGAGCGUGGGGAUUUGGGGUAGGGGUACCUAGUAGAUUCUUGUAUAAAUUGUGUGAUGAAAUGGGCAAUAAAUUGGGCCUAGCGGUGUUGAAAGUCCAACUAGCUAUUCGGUACUGGAUACGAAUGAGUGAGUCUGUCCAUUGACGAUAGGAUCUUACAUUCAUCGGUUUGCGUAAUAAGAGAGGGAAAAUGGAGAAGAGGAUCACCUUACUUCAAACCGUUGCCACCGCCGGUGUCUUCUCCGCCGUUUCCUUCUGGUAUGGAUUCAUGUUUGGCAGAGAAUCCUCUCGCAAAGAGCUCUCUCACUUAAUUGAAGAUCUCCGUCGUGGAAAUCCAACUCCUCCUCCUCAUUCUUGAAGGUCUUUCUUCUUAAUUGUACUCGUUAUGAUUUUUCAACGCUUACCUAUAUGUUAUUUCUUUUGUCGAUAAGAAUCACCUGCAACUCUCGCACACAAUGUCUACAUUUGUCAGUUUAGUCGUGCCUUACAGAUUAUCUAUCUUAAUUUAUACAGUGUGUUCAACUUUCACUAUGUCCUCUUUUCCUAACAUUGUUGUAGUUAGUGUUGAUUAUAGUGUUGAUUAUAGACACUGUAACACAUACACCUUUGAUUGUUGAUGCUACAUAGUUCAUAAACAUCUCUAGUUUUGUUAUAACCUUUUGUAAUGAUUUUGUUUAACAUUUUCUGUUUGAGAGAUAAAGAGAGUGAGUGAGCAUCUUUCUGUGCAAACCUAUUGGCUUAGCUAUAAUUUGACAAGUUUGUUCA